UGUCUUCUCUUGUACCUGUCAAUUGUUUUCAGGAAGGCGGUCCCUGGAGUUAAUAUGAGGAAGGCUCUGAUUGGUUGUCAUCUCCACCUGUUCCAGAUAAAAGGACUGCCUGGAUCCCUGAUUGAGGCCUCUUUACCUUUUUGUGUCAUCGUGAUUGCUUUGUUUGUGUUGUGCUUUAACAUUGCACAUUCGUAUGCUCUAUUCUCUAACUGUUAAUCCAUUUCAUGUAUCGUUGAUUGUCUCGUCUGAGAAAGUUUGUAAAUUUGUGUUCAGAGUGUGUUGAGCCUGUGCGUUUUGUUUUGUUCUGUUUAUUCUUUCAACUGAUAGAUUUGUUUGUGCUGUACCCAUGCCUGAUACUGAGAGGGAGUUAGAUUAGGUGGUUGUUACGAAGUUCGGAGCAGCUGGUCGAACGGAUGGCGGAACAGACUGCACUGAGGU